AACGUAGGUACCAAGCGUUAUCCGGAUUUACUGGGCGUAAAGCGCGUUCAGGCGGUUGGACAAGUCGGGCAUGAAAUCUCUCGGCUCAACCGGGAGAGGUUGUCCGAUACUGUCGAACUGAAGGGCAGUAGAGGGUGGUGGAAUUCCGGGUGUAGUGGUGAAAUGCGUAGAGAUCCGGAGGAACACCAGUGGCGAAAGCGGCCACCUGGACUGUACCUGACGCUGAAACGCGAAAGCUAGGAGAGCGAACAGG
rnacentral:rRNA from 1 species